UAAAACUAAGAAGCUAAGCAUAGAAGGGGGUGCAUGGGUAAUAGACUAAAGCCACCCCCUGACCAAAGGGAGGUUUGUUAGUGAUUAUAGAGUCUGGCAAGAAGCCACAGGGUGAAGUAGCCAUGGGGAGUGGAGGCAGCUCAGACAGGUGGUAAACCCUGAGGAUGGAAGGAGGAAGCAGGACAGAGUCCAGGGAAGCAGCAACCCCAUCUGGGAGUCAGUAGACCAUAGCCAGGGAGCACAGGGUCCCUGGGUGGGCUCCCAGAGUAGAGGGCGGGCCCAGGUCCCCUGCCAGCUGCUGGGGAAGUGAGAUAGCCUUGGCAGUAGAAUGGAUGACUGCCUGGACUGACUGAGGGACAGCUUGUCUAGAGGGAGAUUGACAGACCCUUGGAAGUGUAGGACUGAAGUGACUCCCUGAAAGGCCAGGUCACAAGGGAAAAGGCUGCCCUAAGGGCUGUCCAACUAGUGGCUAACUCCCAGAUGAGCCACGAGGAGGUGCCCCAUUGGCUUUCUCCCUUCAUCACAAAGAAGCAAAUGAAGGCACAAAGCCAUGGGUAAAGGUUGCCUCGAGGGAGAUGUAUUCUCUGCUUCUCUUCUCCCCAGGGAGGGGGCGGGAGAAAUCCAACGACAGCGCCGUGUCUGCUCAUUUUCAUUCUGUGACUGCCCCUCUCCAGGCGCACAGUGCAAGAACAGAGUAUAUACACCCAACCAGUUCACAAGACUAAGUCAAAACACAACCAACGGGAUGCAGUGAUGCUUCAUGGGGAGAUCAACAAAAACAGCUGAUGGAGGAGAUGCCCACACUGCUGUACAGAUCAGAUUCAAUUGGGGAAAACGGGAUGUCCAGCCUGUCACAUCUACUCUCACCAUCUCCUGAUCCAUCCAGCUGUAUCUGUCAGUCUUGCUCAGUAGGUUAUGUCCAUUUAACACAUUCAAGGGCCUUAUCCAACUCCCAUGGAAGCCAAUGGCCAAAUACCAGUUGGCUUCAAAAGGAGCAAGGUCACUGUCCUACCUGCUCUGAGUUUCCUGGUGUGGUUGCUGGCAUGCUGAAUAUCUGGAGAGGUUUGCGGGGUUCAGUGCAUGGAUUUGUUUCACAGGUUCAAAUCAAAUAAUGUCAUGAACCUUUGUCCAAAAUUCCUCAACUUUCCAAGGCUUGCUGCCCAAGUGAAGGGCUAAACCACCCCCCACCAAGGAAAUAUCCAUGGCAUCCAUAUAGUCUAGGGUGACCAGAUGGCCCAGUUUUAUAGGGACAGUCCCAAUAUUCAGGGCUUUGUCUUAUAGAGGCACCUAUUACCCCCCCCCCAUCCCCAUCCCAAUUGGACACCCUAACAUAGUCUCAACCAGAUGGAAUGGGGUUCUCACCAGGGGCAGCCUGCCUGUGGAAGAUUCCCAGCCUGGUUUCUGCUCCAAAGCUGGUUCAGCUCAGAGCACAGCCAAGCUCUUAGGAACUAUCCCACUGACUGGGAGAAGAGCAAGAGAUGCCUUCUUCAUCUUGGUGUGGCCUAAACAAGAAGCAAAGGCCUCUGGAUUAUUGUCACCCCACCAAUCACAGCACUGCAAUAAGGGCUGCAGCAGGGGUCAGGGAAGGGAGUGAUUGGUCCUCUGCUUGGCCACCUUUAUAGCAGGUGGGAUAAUGGGCGCUGACUUGGAGAAACCUGUAUAUGGGGAGGUAUGGACUGUCCUGCCAGAAGCUGCCGUCUCCCUACAAACCCUUCCCCCACACUGAAAUGAUGAGGGCUCUCAAUCCUCAUGCUCUAGGACAACAGCUUGGGUCAGGAAGAAUUUCCCCCGGUGUGAUAGGACUGCACAGCUAGGUGCAUUAUGGAAGAGGGGACUGACAUCUUCAAAGCAUCUGGAACUUUAGCAGCCAGGAUGCAGGGCUAGAUGGGCCAUUGAGCUGCUCUGGUGUGAGACCAAGCCAAUCACUGGCUGUCAGCCUCAUGUACUGGACUCAGUCUGCAAGGGAGCCAAAGGACAAACUCUUCUUGGGAUAUUUUGGGCUGGACUGAGAAUCUGACCAGAAAGACUGUUCCAGGGCCACCUCUACGUGGAUGGUCAGACACUAAUGAGUCUGGCUAAGCAGCUGGUAAUUUGCCAGUCACGGGAGACCUUCUCUAACUCAAGUGGGGGUCUGUGCAGUGGAGUUGAGGAAUUGGAUUCUAGUCCAGGGUCUGCAUGGGCAGGAACUGAGGUAACACCUGUGACACUAUAACCUCUCCUAUAGGAAGAAUAUCCACAACCUGACAGCCAAAGGAAUUACCACCCCCCUCGACAACCUAAUAACAACAAUGCAACAGAAAAAAAUAUCUCACACACAUACACACACACCCUGAAAAUCAACGAACCAACCGGAAAAAUAAAAAAAGUUCUAUGUGGUGUUCUUAUUCCUUAUCUACAUUAUUGCACGAAAGAUCAAGGACAUUGAGGGACCUAAGGCAAAAAGGAGAAAAUGCGGCUCUAUUAUCUAAAUCUGUGCAAUGCUACCUCUAAAAAAUACUCGAGCCCUGGUCUUCCCCAGAGCACGGGGUGACACCUAAACAGGAGGGCAAACGGAUUGCGUUCACCCAAAAUGUGGACUGUUGAGAAGGAGGGGGCGAUGCUGCGUGUUGUAAUGUUGGGGAUGGCGGGAGAGGCCCAAUGGAUGGGAUUGGUGACGCUAAGGAAUGGCAGGAGAUUCAGGGGUCAGCAAGCUGCUAGUCUUAAGGGUGGGGGAAGCCUCUCAGAUGCUGUCCCUUCCUCACCAUGGAUAGGGUAGUCAUUUGGGUGGAUCAGUCCUGCCAGGGGAUGGAGCAAUGGGCUAUCAGACAUGGUGCCCCUCGGAUACUGUACCCAGAGGUGCUGGAGAGUCACCACUGGUGCUCUGGCAGUGGUGGGGAAGGAGGCCAGGGCUGGGUGUGUGCUAUGGUCAGCAAUGGUUAUACAGAAGACACACCCUCGCUUUCUGCUGAAGUCCAGUGGCACUGGCUGUUGGGUGCCCCGUGUGUUGGGUGCAGGGCUCAGACCAUGCCCACCUGCCUGGUGUCUGUUUGUAAACUGCUGUUGCUGCUUAAUAGCGUGAUAGCCCUUUGUGCAGUAGUGAGUGAGUUGGGCCGUGCCCAGGGGCUGCGGCUCAGGGGGCAGGAGCUGCUGGCCAGUGUGACACCUCCACUCAGCCAGUCCAACUCCCCUCCCCUGAAAUGGCCCCGGCUAUGGCCCCUGGGGAGUGCAGCCAGCCCUGGGGAGUCUGGGAUGGGGGGAGCAGAAGGGUGGACAGUACAGUUCUGUGCCACUAAAGCACCAACAGUGCCCAGCCCUCAGCCAGCUGGAUGGCAGGACUGACCCUGUCUGUGCCCACACUGCAAGCCACAGGCAAGGGGGCCAAGCCAGAUGCCCAACAGGGAUCUGCCUUUGCUGCAGUGCUAACCCAAGCAUCUACUCACUUCACCCUCCCUUCCCAUCCCCACACAAGCCUGAUGGUGCUUUACAUUUGCGCUAGCUGGCCUGGGCUAUAAGCUAAAACCUGGGUGCUGAUUAUGCUCAGACUGGUAACCUGCCCACUUUGCAGUGAGGAUGCCAACUAAACCACUCAUGUUCUACUAGUCCUCUGACGACCUUCCCACAAUCCCAAAAGGGCAGACAGGUUCCCCAUAAUUCACUGGGAACGCAUCAGACAGUGGCUCAACUCGCUGCAGUGCAAAGCACCAUGGGAUGGGUCACCCCAGAAGUCCUAGCGACACACACAGCGAGCACAGCACCAGAUGCAGCUGCAUCUGGCUUUGCACAGUGGCUGUUCACAUCAUCCUAGAAUCUGGACAC